CGGCACAGCUUGUGUACCCCUGGCAGCCACCCUGGCUUCCCUGGAGCGACCUGCCCCUCCAGCGGCCCUCCUGACGGCUCGGGGCUUUCCACCUUGCUGGCCUGAGUCGCGUCGUAAGCAAUUGUGUCUGAAUACGUUUUUGGUUUUUUGUCUUUUCCCCCCAACUAAUUUUUAGUUGGAUGCUGAUAACUAUGAGACUGAUCCGUGUCUGAAGGAGAUUCGGAGAGCAGAAAAUUAUUCUUGGAUGGAUAUAAUAACCAUACAUAAAGACAAGCUUCCAAAUUACGAGGAAAAGAUAAAGACAUUUUAUGAAGAACAUUUACACCUAGACGAUGAAAUUCGCUACAUCUUAGAUGGAUCUGGCUAUUUUGAUGUUCGAGACAAGGAUGACAAAUGGAUUCGGAUUUCCAUGGAAAAAGGAGACAUGAUAACCCUCCCUGCUGGCAUAUAUCACCGAUUUACACUGGAUGAGAACAAUUACGUGAAGGCAAUGAGGCUAUUCGUUGGAGAACCCGUCUGGACAGCAUACAACAGGCCGGCUGAUGAUCUUCCUGCUCGGAAACAAUAUAUGAAGUUUUUGGCUGAAGAAGCACAGUAAUGGUGCCUGAGACCUGACAGGUGGAACAGCCUGAAGCCCUGUCAGAAUAAAUCUCACUGAAGCCAACAUGAGACUCUUAAUUCCUCCUAUGGGUGUCUCCAUUUUCAUCUCUCUCUCUGCAAAAGGAGCAGUGGCGACAGCAACGUGGGCUUCCAGGAACCCCACUUACAGCUCAGCCAUCCUGUAACAGCCCGGGGGAGCGACUGGGAGGAGAGAGCUGGUAACUCAGUCUCCUCAGGAGAGAUUUGCAGUCGGGGGGCCGUGGUGAGGGAUGGCCAGUAAAGCGGCUGCCCGCAGCGAUCGCUUUCAACAGCUCGCUGAUGUAGGAUGCGACCUGGGAAGCAGGACUGAACCACCUUGUUUUGUUGCCUCUCUGGAGGAAUACCUGUACACGGCUCCCAUCCCCUGGCUGUCAAGAAUAACACACGAUCCCACCGCUGACGAUCGUUCAUCAUUUUCAUAGCACAAUGCAUUCUGCCGCUGAGAGGUGGCGGGGGCUGGGGGGGCCUUACUGUCAACGCUUUUGAGCCCGUGCCCUUUAGUGCUAUAGGUGUCUUUGAAAGGGUGAAAGCUUUGCUCUCCUAAAGUGCUUUUUGUCAGCCAGGAAAAAAGCAAUUUGGGGCUGGUAUAAAGAUUCUACACCUGUGAAGAGAUUACAUAGGAGAUUACACUGGGAGGAAACAGCUGGGCAGAAAAAAUGUUAAUAUUAAUAGAAAACACUCUAGAGAGUGGAGAGGAGGGAGGGAGAGCACACCGUUCCUUCAGAUGGAAAAUGCAGCUUAUUUUCAUGGUGAUUUUUUGUGUUUGUUUUUUUUCUUUUUUUCUUUUUUCCAUACACCACAUAUCUAAAAGUGCAAAGUGAAGUCGAUUUGUGGUCCAAAGACAUGAGUCUGUUUUCCUGCAGCUAGUGGAAAACCUUGGUGCAUUGAUGUAGUAUGAAAAUUUAUGUAAGUGGUUCCAGCAACAUCACGCUGGCAGCAUUAACUCAGGCAAGGGUUAGUAUUUCAACUCCUCCAGGAUGAGAACCUUUAAAAAAAAAAAAAAAAAAAAAAAA